rnacentral:rRNA from 1 species
UCAGUGCCGCAGUUAACGCAUUAAGGGCGCCGCCUGGGGAGUACGAUCGCAAGGUUGAAACUCAAAGGAAUUGACGGGGGCCCGCACAAGCGGUGGAGCAUGUGGUUUAAUUCGAUGCAACGCGAAGAACCUUACCGGGGUUUGACAUCAUAGUGAAGUUUGCAGAGAUGUAAACGUUCUUCGGAACGCUAUGACAGGUGCUGCAUGGCUGUCGUCAGCUCGUGUCGUGAGAUGUUGGGUUAAGUCCCGCAACGAGCGCAACCCUUGCCCCUAGUUGCCAGCAAGUAAUGUUGGGGACUCUAGGGGGACAGUCGGCGAUAAGCCGGAGGAAGGUGGGGAUGACGUCAAGUCCUCAUGGCCCUUACAUCCCGGGCUACACACGUGCUACAAUGGCCGGUACAACGAGUCGCGAUACCGUGAGGUGGAGCCAAUCUCUAAAAACCGGUCUCAGUUCGGAUUGCAGUCUGCAACUCGACUGCAUGAAGUCGGAAUCGCUAGUAAUCGUGGAUCAGCACGCCACGGUGAAUACGUUCCCGGGCCUUGUACACACCGCCCGUCACGCCAUGGGAGUUGGCAGUACC